GUUUGAUCCUGGCUCAGGACGAACGCUGGCGGCGUGCUUAAUGCAUGCAAGUCGCACGAGGCCCCAUGGACGGGUAACCGUCCCGGGGUCCUAGUGGCGAACGGGUGAGUAACACGUGAGGAACCUGCCCCGGAAUCUGGGAUAGCCCAGGGAAACCUGGAUUAAUACCGGAUACCCUCGAUCGGUCGCAUGUCUGGUCGAGGAAAGGUCCGCCGUUCCGGGAUGGCCUCGCGGCCUAUCAGCUUGUUGGCGGGGUAACGGCCCACCAAGGCAACGACGGGUAGCUGGUCUGAGAGGACGAUCAGCCACACUGGGACUGAGACACGGCCCAGACUCCUACGGGAGGCAGCAGCAGGGAAUAUUGCACAAUGGGCGAAAGCCUGAUGCAGCGACGCCGCGUGGGGGAUGAGGGCCUCCGGGUCGUAAACCCCUUUCAGGAGGGAAGAAGCGCAAGUGACGGUACCUCCAGAAGAAGCCCCGGCCAACUACGUGCCAGCAGCCGCGGUAAUACGUAGGGGGCGAGCGUUGUCCGGAUUCAUUGGGCGUAAAGAGCUCGUAGGCGGCUCGGUAAGUCGGCCGUGAAAUCCCGGAGCUCAACUCCGGGAGGCCGGUCGAUACUGUCGUGGCUAGGGUCCGGUAGAGGAGAGCGGAAUUCCCGGUGUAGCGGUGAAAUGCGCAGAUAUCGGGAGGAACACCCGUAGCGAAGGCGGCUCUCUGGGCCGGUACCGACGCUGAGGAGCGAAAGCUAGGGGAGCAAACAGGAUUAGAUACCCUGGUAGUCCUAGCUGUAAACGUUGGGCACUAGGUGUGGCGGAUUGAUUGACGUCUGCCGUGCCGUAGCAAACGCAUUAAGUGCCCCGCCUGGGGAGUACGGUCGCAA
rnacentral:rRNA from 1 species